CAUUUCCACAUCUGAGGACGGGGCUAACAGCAUGUCUCCUCCACAGGACUGUCCUGAUGACCAGAUGAGUUCCUACGUGAAGAAUUCAGAGGGCAGGACUGGCCAAGAAGUGAUCAUUCAGGGUUCCUGUCAGCCCCUGAGCUGGUCUCUCUGUCUUAGAAGACCUGGCUUUCCUCUUUCUGGGGGGCCUGGAGGACAUAAAGAAAGGAGCUUGGGAACAGUCAGGGAAAUCAAGGAGGGAAGUCCAUGCAGACCUCGAUUCCAGAUUCUCUGCAAUUGCUGGAUACCUCACAGUUUCUCCCAAUGCUGCUUCCUGAAUAAGGCAAUCUGGAUAAAGAGGUGUUGGCCUAGCAGGAAAGCAGUGAAAAAUGAGCUUCCCUUGGCUCCAGUCCAUGGAGCACCCCACGCUGCUAAGACAAGGCAGAAGAAGGAAUGGCUCUUACAACUUCAUGCACAUAUUUGGAGGUCUUGACUCAGUCCGCUGACCACAUUCCAAGAACCCAGCAGUGCCGCCAUGGAGGGUGACCCCUGGGGCAAGGCUGCUCUGGGAUAUGUUGAAAAUUGCCCAAGAGCUUCCAGCAAUGCUGGUGGUGUAACAUGUAUAUACAAGAGCUCAACAUCUUGAAAAUCCAUCUGGGUGCUGAGUUGGGUAAAUAGAAGUAAUGACUUCUGUGGCUCUGCGUGUUAAUGUGGCUAGAAGUUUCGUGACAGUGCUCGCUCAUGGGCCUGACUUGCCAUCAUUGGGCAGGUUUGGGUGGCCGUCCAUCGAACCAGUCUGCCAGGAGGAUAAUACUCAUGCUGUGAGCACCAGGGCAGGGAAGAGAGGCUCUUGUCAGCUAUGAGCUGGGAGACACAGGCGCAUCCAUUCGCUCUCCCGCCCUCCACACAAUCAGGAUGUGAAUUUGAUCCAGAAUUUCCUAUUAACUUUGCUCCCUCUGUGAUAGACCAUGGACACCUUUAGGUUCCCAAGAGAUGCUGGAUCAACUUCAUCCUUUCUCAAUAAGCUCAGGAGUGGUGCGAUCCUGUACGCCGUUCCAGUUCCUGGCAUCUCAGCCCUAGGAGGGGACAGGCUGUGACUAAGCCCCCUUGCAUGUUC
rnacentral:lncRNA from 1 species